CCUACGGGUGACAGCAGUGAGGAAUAUUGGUCAAUGGACGAGAGUCUGAACCAGCCAAGUAGCGUGAAGGAUGACUGCCCUAUGGGUUGUAAACUUCUUUUAUAUGGGAAUAAAACGUUCCACGUGUGGGAUUUUGUAUGUACCAUAUGAAUAAGGAUCGGCUAACUCCGUGCCAGCAGCCGCGGUAAUACGGAGGAUCCGAGCGUUAUCCGGAUUUAUUGGGGUUAAAGGGAGCGUAGGUGGAUUGUUAAGUCAGUUGUGAAAGUUUGCGGCUCAACCGUAAAAUUGCAGUUGAAACUGGCAGUCUUGAGUACAGUAGAGGUGGGCGGAAUACGUGGUGUAGCGGUGAAAUGCUUAGAUAUCACGAAGAACUCCGAUUGCGAAGGCAGUUCACUGGACUGCAACUGACACUGAGGCUCGAAAGUGUGGGUAUCAAACAGGAUUAGAUACCCCUGUAGUC
rnacentral:rRNA from 1 species